UAAGGAAUAUCGCUCAAUGGGAGAAAUCCUGAAGCAGCAACGCCGCGUGGAGGAUGAAGGGUCUAUGACUUGUAAACUCCUGUAAAGAAGGAAAAAAUUCCCAUUUGAUGGGAGAUGAUGGUACUUCUGGAGUAAGCCCCGGCUAACUACGUGCCAGCAGCCGCGGUAAUACGUAGGGGGCAAGCGUUGUCCGGAUUUACUGGGUGUAAAGGGUGCUCAGGCGGAUUUGUAAGUCAGAGGUGAAAUCUUACAGCUUAACUGUGAAACUGCCUUUGAUACUGCAAGCCUAGAGUAUGGAAGAGNGUGAUGGAAUAUCUGGUGUAGCAGUGAAAUGCGUAGAUAUCAGAUAGAACACCAAUGGCGAAGGCAGUCACUUGGUCCAUUACUGACGCUAAAGCACGAAAGCGUGGGUAGCAAACA
rnacentral:rRNA from 1 species